rnacentral:lncRNA from 1 species
AGUCACAAAAAGACAAAAACUGUGUGAUUCCACUUAAGCAUCAAGUACAUAGAGCAGUCAAAUCCAUAGAGACAGAAAGUAGAAUGGGAGUUGCCAGGGGCUGGGGGAGCGAGAAAUGGGGAGCUGUUAUUUAAUGGGUACAGAGUUUCAGUUUUGCAAGAUGAAAAGAGUUCUGGAGAUUGAUUGUACAACAAUGAAUAUGCUUAACACUGAUCAACUGUACACUUAAACAUGGUUGAGAUGGUAAAUUUGAUAUUAUGUGUAUUUUACCACAAUUUUUUUUAAAAAAUGUUGAUUAGAUGUAGAGCUGAGAAAACCACUUGCCUUCUGUACUAGUGACUAGGUGGCGGCAGGACAAAGGUGAGGAAGCUGCAUAGGGCAAGAGAACCCUGAAACAUAUUGUGUUUCUUGAAAGGCAGUGAAUUCCAAAUUCCAAUGAUGUUCCAAAAGCGGGGGGAGUGGAAAAUAAGAGAGAAAUUCCAGGAAUAGACCACACCUAGUUAGUUAUCAGCCUUUUGGGGAGCCCCUGCCAGACGUCCUUUGGCAAAAUGCCCUGCUGAGCGCCUGAGAAGAUCACACUUGAGCUUGGAUCAGCUGUCAUUUUCCUUCACCAAGAAGAGUUCUACUUUCUGAGCUCUGUGCAGUCAAUGCCUGUUCCUUUUCAUCCUCCGCUUAAGAGAGGCUCAGGCAGACACGGUUCUUGGGAAGGAGAUCCUGUGUUCCACCAGGCAGUCAGCCAGUCAGAAAGUCAUUCCACAAAGGUUUGCAAGUGAUAUAACUUAGUGCAUGAGAGCAUGGACAGAUGGAUCUAGACACCACUCAGUGUGUGCCUUCUCGUAAGUUAUUUAAACCUUCUGAGCCUCACUUUUGUCAUCUGUAGCAUGGGAGCAUUAGUAUCUACUUUAAAGGAAUGAGAGAAUGCUUGUGGCAGAUGACUGGCACAUCAAUGGUCAUCGUUAUUCAUAUUCAUUGCCAAUAAACGUAUCAUUACACAACA